rnacentral:rRNA from 1 species
CAGUCGCCGCGGUAAUACGAAGGGUGCAAGCGUUAAUCGGAAUUACUGGGCGUAAAGCGCGCGUAGGUGGUUUGGUAAGAUGGAUGUGAAAUCCCCGGGCUCAACCUGGGAACUGCAUCCAUAACUGCCUGACUAGAGUACGGUAGAGGGUGGUGGAAUUUCCUGUGUAGCGGUGAAAUGCGUAGAUAUAGGAAGGAACACCAGUGGCGAAGGCGACCACCUGGACUGAUACUGACACUGAGGUGCGAAAGCGUGGGGAGCAAACAGGAUUAGAUACCCCCGUAGUCCCUGUCUUCUUAUA